UAUCUGGUGGAUAGUUUUACUGGGGCUGUACCCUCCUAAAAAGUAAAGGAGGGGUUUAAAGGUCAGCUAGGCGCGAAUGGAAACCGUGCCGAUAGUGUAUAAGCACAAGCUGGCUUGACUGUAAGAGGUACAUCUCAAGCAGGUGGGAAACCAGAAUUAAGUGAACCGACCAUUCGCAUUAGAUGCGGUGGAAGAUUAACGGAUAAAAGCUACUCUAGGGAUAACAGGCUAGUUCCGCCUAAGCGUCCAUAGCGACGGCGGAGUUCGGCACCUUAACACAUUGGGGUGCGAUGAAAGUAAUUUUAGUAGCCGAUAAAAUAAUUAGCUAAAACGGUGAACUCCAAGAUGUUUAUGUUAUAUUUAAUAUAUGGCUAAACAUACGGACAAUACCGUGGGAAGACUAAAUCAAAAACAAUUGUCUUUGAUAUUUGGGUCACUUUUAGGGGAUGGAUAUAUGAGAACAGUGGAAGGUCGCAAAGAUGCAUUUUUGGAAAUAAAUCAUUCCAUUAAGGCAAAAAAAUAUGUUGACUGGAAAUUUAAUAUUUUAAAAAAUAUUUGUAUAUCAGAACCAAAAGAGAGAAAUACCAAUGAAGGCAGAGUUGCUUAUCGAUUUUUUACUAGACAAAGUGAUGAAUUAACAAAAAUUCACAGAUUGUUUUAUAAAAAUAAAAGAAAAGUAAUUCCAAAAUCAUUAGUAUUAGAUCCAAUGAUGCUAGCGGUUUGGUAUAUGGAUGACGGAAGUAAAACUUCUGCUUCGGAUAUAUAUCUAAACACACAACAAUUUGGGGAGAAAGAUCAGAAGUAUUUACUUCAUCUUUUAAGAAAAAUGGAUGUUAAAGCUAGAUUAAACAAAGAUAAAAAAUAUUAUAGAAUAAGAAUCUUAAAAGAAAGUAUAAAAACUUUUAUGGAUAUUAUUAAAGAUAAUAUCGAAGAUUCUAUGCGAUAUAAGUUGAUUUAGAACCUGUAGAGACUAAAGUAGAAAUACUUUGAGUGCUUCAAAUACGAAGUGCUAAAUGCUAAUCUCCAAAACAAAAUAAAAAAUUGCUUUGGAUGAAGAUAUAGUCCGGGCUUUUGGUAACAAAAGAAUUGACAGCGAUGUCGGCUCACCUUAGCGCGGUGGUGAAGAAGCUACCAAGCGUUUGGCUGUUCGCCAAUUAAAAAGGUACGCGAGCUGGGUUCAGACCGUCGUGAGACAGGUUGGUCUCCUAUCUACUGCACUCGUUGAUUCUUGAGAAGAUUUGCUCCUAGUACGAGAGGACCGGAGUGAACUGACCUCUGGUGUACGAGCUCUACUGCCAAGUGGACUGCUCGGUAGCUAUGUCGGGAAUGGAUAACCUCUGAAAGCAUCUAAGAGGGAAGCCAGCUUCAAGAUUAGGAAUCGUUAUAGAACCGUGAGAGAUGAUCACGUUGAUAGGCCUUAGGUGUAAGCACAGUAAUGUGUUGAGCCGAGAGGUACUAAUGUUUCGAUUCCUGUUAAGAA
rnacentral:ncRNA from 1 species